rnacentral:misc_RNA from 1 species
AACGCACCUUGCGCCCUCUGGUAUUCCGGAGGGCAUGCCUGUUUGAGUGUCAUGUAGACUCAACCCCUCGGGUUUCCGAGAUGGUUGGAUAUGGGUGCUGCCUGUCAUGGGCUCGCCUUAAAUGUCUUAGCGGUUUCAUACCACCCCAGUUGGCGUAAUAAGUUUCGUCAGUGAAGGUGUGUGUGUCCGCUCACAAUCGCCCUCGGGCAUCUUUUGACUCUGACCUCAAAUCAGGUAGGGCUACCCGCUGAACUUAA